UUUUAUUUCAUCAUCACAGUCUAAUUAAUUUACACUGGUAAUCAAGAUCAAUACAAUUAGUUUAACGUACGCACCAACAAAAUGGACAAAACUAUAGAAAAAUGAGAGAUAAUUAAGGCUAGGGAUAGACCGAUUAAAUUUGAAAAUCGUGAGACAAAACUGUUUUGAAUAGUAAGGUGUCACAAGUAUCUAAUCAUUUUUUAUUUCAUCAAUUACACUGAUAAUCUAACGCACCAAAAAUGCAGGAGAGCACAACGUACUCUGGCUAAUAUAUAUAUAGUCCUUCUUGGCUGCGGACGUUCGCACUAAAAGUUUCGGUGUGGAUUUCUAUUUUUGCUCCACUUUCCGAUCGAAUAUCCUCAUCUCCACCAUCUAGUAUCUAGAUAAUAUUAUGUAGAUCAUCUCUGCAAAAUUUCAACCAAUUUGGUGAUCGUUAAGGCCCUCAAACUCGAGUUUUUCUGUUGUGAACACAACCGGACAAAAUUCAGUAAUUCCAUUUAUUUUUCGAGUUUGAGGGCCGUAACGAUUACCAAAUUAGCUGAAAUUUUGCAGACAUGAUCUACACAAUAUUAUCUAGAUAUUAGACGGUGGAGAUGAGGAAAUUCGAUCGAAAAGUGGUUCAAAAAUGGAAAUCCGCACCAAAACUUUGGUGCGGACGUCNNNNNNNNNNNNNNNNNNNNUGUAGAUCAUCUCUGCAAAAUUUCAACCAAUUUGGUGAUCGUUAAGGCCCUCAAACUCGAAAAACAAAUGGACGGACUGAAUUCUGUCCAGUUGUGUCCAUACCAGAAAAACUCGAGUUUGAGGGUCUGAAUGAUCACCAAAUUGGCUAAAAUUUUACAUAGAUGAUCUACACAAUAUUAUCUAGAUACUAGACGGUGGAGAUGAGGAAAUUCGAUCGAAAAGUGGUGUAAAAAUAGAAAUCCGCACUACAACCAUUGGUGCGGACGUCCGCACCUGAUAGCAUUGUGUGUGUGUGUAUAUAUAUAUAUCAAUGGCGUAUUGGCGUUUGCAGAAAAAUUCCAGUCCAUGAGCUUCUAGCUUAUAAAUCGAUCGAAGAGGCAAAUUAAUGCUAUUGCAGUCUUGCAGAUGAAGGGAUAUAUAUGCUUAAUUUGCCAAAUUAACAUGACCUAAUUAAAGGAUCAUAUAAGAGUGAACUAAUUAUUAAACAGAUCGGAAAGGCAUAUAUUAUUGAAGAAACAUAUGGUAGGGAACAAAGGACAAGUUCAUGAAUAAGAGUGACCUAAUUAGGUGAAGGAAAGCCUUCAGGGAAUAGGGUAGGGAACAAAUUACGACCCUAAUUAGCUACACAACUGAUCGAUCGAGAAGAGAAGAGAACUUAAGCAUAAAUAAUAAUCGUAUAUCUUAUAUCUGGCCAUUGGACGUACUAUUAAUAUUGCUAAGCUAGGUAUCAUAAACGUACAUGAGCUUGGCUUUUUGUUAGGCCAGGGUUCACCUAAUCAUGUUACAACUUACAAUUAGCUAGCUAUAUUCCCCAAAAUUGGGAACAUCAGGAAAAUAGGAAAGUUGUUGGAGAUGCUUUUCAUUCCCUAAAAUUAAAUUAUUCACGUGUUCCAACGAGAAGUUUACAAAUAUAUAAUAUUUUAUUAAGUAUUUUAUUGUUAUAAUAAAAUAUAUGAUUUUUUUUUGUUAUAGCUAAUAGAUUCAACCAAUUAGCAAGUUUCUAAUACCAAAAAUGAAAAGAAUAUGUUUACAAAAUCAAUAUCUGCUCCCUGGCCAUGGCCACCAAGGUCUAUAUGAGGCUGAGGUUUACAAAACCAAUUAGUUGCUUAAUUAUAUGCCAACUUCAUCAUAUUCUAAUAAUUAAGCACAUAUCUAUGCACACGCACGUUUAGCUGAUUAAGCUUAUCUUAAUUAAUUGUUUAACAAACUUGAUUAAGUACAUGAACUUUGAGAACAGCUGUGUAUGCAUGGAUAAGCUUCUUCUAAUUAAAGAUUUUCCAUUAAUUAAUUAAUAUUAAUUUUAGUUAAUUAGGUUAAUAUUAGUUAUACUAAUAUUAAUUAGUUAAUUAGGUUAAGUAUUUUUUGCUAUCGUCUUUUGUUGUUGUUUGGUGAAAUGUCUUUACACUUGAUAAGCGUGGAAUCUCAUUGUUCUGCCACGUGGCAGUAUAAUUGGUAAGACGAUAACUUGCAGCACCCUAGGGUUACGGACGUCACAAGACAAUGGACCAAUGAGUCAGUGCCAACUCAGAUCCCAUAGCACAAUGUCAACGCGAUUGACUACGACUGGCUGAUAGCUCAGGAAAUGAUCUCCAUGCAGAGGCUUGCUUUUAGUCUUUACCUCACCAUACGUGUAUCUCUAAUUAAAAAUUUUGAUUACCGGCCAAUUGGGUAUAAAAAUUUCUUGUUUUGGAGGCCAUAUUGUCCAUUAUGCGGUGGUGCGUAUAGUAGCAUUCGUAGAGUACAUACUCUUAUGAUUCGAAUUGUCCUGCAUUGUCAUCCUUGCAUAUAUAUUUGAAGAUGAACAUAUAGUUGAGCAUAUAUAUAGAUGAGCGAGGUAAGUUUCAAGAAUGGUGUCUCUCUAUUGGUUAUUACGAGAAAAAAUAAAAUCUUGUCUUUUGAAUUUGACAAGUAAGAUGGUUAUUAUCCACAAACUGUUAUCUCUCGUCAUAUAUAUCUCUUCACAUCCAAUUCAUUAGUUUUGACAUUAAUUAUUAGAAACUGUAUCCUCUUUCUUCUAAUUAAAACAAAAAAAUUGUGCGGCCCCAAAGACUUGGUGCCUGAGGGUGUUGCCUCAUUCGGCUCCCCUCAGGUCCGGGCUUGUUGAUCAUACAAUAUAAUGAUAGCGUAAAUAAGUAGAAGGUAAACGUAUUUCUUGGUAGUGAACCCUAUUCAUUCACAUGCCUUGGUCCCAGCAGUGUAGCAAGCAUGCCCAUAGGAUUACGAUUACGAUGGAUUAUAACCGAAUAAUUUCUGACAUUAUAAUCCAUCAUAAUCGUAUCCUAUGGCAUGUAUAUGUAUGAAACCGAUCAAAAAAAGAUAGAAGCUAGGUCAAAUACAUUUAUGUAAAGACUUGGUAGUUCUGAUUAUGCAUUAGGAAACUUUGUGUGGACUCGGCAAAAGCUUUUGAAUGUUGAGAACCCUUAAUUUGUCAGUGAUUUUCAACCAUAAAAGCUUCGAAAGAAAUCGUCGUCUUUCCUUUGGAUCCUUCGAAAGAUGGCUGGGUCAUAUAUUCAUAUGAUUUCACUCGUAUCUCUACGGACAACAACAUGUCCUUACAAAUCUACAGAACGAUUGAUUCUUUGUGCUUAACUUUGCAUGCAGAUGAAGUGUUUGUCAUUUGCAAUAUCUAAACCUCAAACAAGGACAUAAGUCUGAAUCUAAAUAUAUACUACAAAAAUG
rnacentral:lncRNA from 1 species